UACAUUUCAAUUUGACAGUUUAUCAUUUUAUAAACCAAGGGCAACUUUUGUUUGCAUGCUUGUUAGCUAUCUGCUGUUAUGCUUGCAUCAAAUUUCCAUUUUUGAGCUCCUGGCAGGGAGAAAUCAAGAAUCCGGUUUUUCUUCUAUACAAUCAACAAAAACAUGAUAGUUUGUGUCGAUACAGAAUCUUUGUAAAAUCAUUGUGCCAUAUCUGCAUGAAAAGUGGACAACUCAAGUGAGUGAAUGUCAACUGAGUAAACGUAGUAUAUGUGUAAGACAAAACUGACCAUAGUUUUCGGAUGUAACCCUACUUAUUAAGCAUAAAAAUAUUGAGAAAUGAC
rnacentral:lncRNA from 1 species